rnacentral:rRNA from 1 species
UACGUAGGGUGCAAGCGUUAAUCGGAAUUACUGGGCGUAAAGCGUGCGCAGGCGGCUUUGCAAGACAGAUGUGAAAUCCCCGGGCUCAACCUGGGAACUGCAUUUGUGACUGCAUGGCUAGAGUGCGGCAGAGGGGGAUGGAAUUCCGCGUGUAGCAGUGAAAUGCGUAGGUAUGCGGAGGAACACCGAUGGCGAAGGCAAUCCCCUGGGCCUGCACUGACGCUCAUGCACGAAAGCGUGGGGAGCAAACAGG